GUACGUUUUGGGAAAAAAAAUUAUGUGAAGAUUAGGAGAGUUCAACAAACACAUUGAGACUCUAGAUAUGUUGAGGAUGGCAAGGGAAAACUCAAUUUCUCUGAAAAAUGAAGAAAAACACAUGGCACGUGAGACCAAGGUGCAUUGUGGUGGUCACGUGAGAGGCUAGUUUGUGAAAAGUAUCCAUUAUAUGUACGUGAGGAAGCUGUUGGAUUUGCAUAGUGUUGCCUUUGAUGGUAUUGGAAACCAAUAAUUUAUUAAUAGUGUUAUCUGCGAAGUAACGGUUGUAGGAUUCUUGAAUGAGGCUCACCUGUUAUGCUAUUUUUAAUUUGUGUUAUUUCUUACUCGAGAGAAAAUCUCUUCUUUCUUUCCAAAUUGGAACAGCAUUCAGGAUUAGUU